GACGAACGCUGGCGGCGUGCUUAACACAUGCAAGUCGAACGGAAAGGCCUCAGCUUGCUGGGGUACUCGAGUGGCGAACGGGUGAGUAACACGUGGGUGAUCUGCCUUGCACUCUGGGAUAAGCUUGGGAAACUGGGUCUAAUACCGGAUAUGAACUGCCUUUAGUGUGGUGGUUGGAAAGUUUUUUCGGUGCAAGAUGAGCUCGCGGCCUAUCAGCUUGUUGGUGGGGUAAUGGCCUACCAAGGCGUCGACGGGUAGCCGGCCUGAGAGGGUGUACGGCCACAUUGGGACUAGGAUACGGCCCAGACUCCUACGGGAGGAAGCAGUGGGGAAUAUUGCACAUGGGCGGAAGCCUGAUGCAGCGACGCCGCGUGGGGGAUGACGGCCUUCGGGUUGUAAACUCCUUUCGACAGGGACGAAGCUUUUUGUGACGGUACCUGUAUAAGAAGCACCGGCUAACUACGUG
rnacentral:rRNA from 1 species